AAGUCGUAACAAGGUUUCCGUAGGUGAACCUGCGGAAGGAUCAUUAACAAAUUUUCCACAACCACACAUGUGAACCGUCACCUCAUUCUUGGUGAGCACCCGGCAAGCGCGACGCGUCAGCGCGUUGUGUUUGUUCCGGGACUCACCGCUAUUUUUAACACCUUUCAAAAACUUAUGCAUACUUUAAACAACAAAUUUAAAGACAACUUUUAGCAACGGAUCUCUUGGCUCUC
rnacentral:misc_RNA from 1 species